rnacentral:misc_RNA from 1 species
UCGAGGCCCGAACGGACUAUCGUGAACUUGUGAACGCACCCGCGGCGGCCCGGAGCGCGGGGGGAGGCAUAUGCCCCCUCCCCGCCCCGCCCUCCUCGGGUGCCCCGCGGCUCCCCGCCCGCCCCGCCUCGCCGCGGGACGGGCGGGAGCCGAACAAGACCCGGGCGCGGUGGGCGCCAAGGAACAUUGCUUUAGGAGAGCGGAGGGCGCCGGACCGCUCAGGCGGACAAGGCGCCCGAAGCGACCCUUCUAUACCGUAAACU